AACGUAGGAGACAACCGUUAUCCGGAGUUACUGGGCGUAAAGGGCGUGUAGGUGGUAGUGUAAGUCUGGCGUGAAAUUUUUCGGCUUAACCGGGAAAGGUCGUCGGAUACUGCACAACUAGAGGACGGUAGAGGCGUGUGGAAUUCCGGGUGUAGUGGUGAAAUGCGCAGAUAUCGGGAGGAACACCGGUGGCGAAGGCGGUUCUCUGGGCCUGACCUGACGCUGAGGAGCGAAAGCGUGGGGAGCGAACAGG
rnacentral:rRNA from 1 species